rnacentral:lncRNA from 1 species
UAAACCCGGGAGAGAAAAAAGAAAACAACUUUGGUAUUUUUAAGAUACCUAUCCUUCCUCGCAAGACAGGGUUUUCGACAAUGUUGGAGGAGAGGAAAGGUGUGGGGACCAAGGCAUCAUGACAAGAUGACAGUUGACAAACUACAAAUCCUUCUCCAUUAAGUCUCCAUGUAAUAAAACAGAGCAGGUGGGUGUUAUGUAAAUUACCUAUAAAAGAUUCUGAUACUGAGAGCCUGGGCCUUUUGGAGUCUGGGUUUUGAUUUCAACCUAUCCUAGCUCUGUAGCCACUUCUCCCUUUUCAGGAGUCUCUUUUUCUUCUUUGAUGAACCAUCUUGACUUCCUUCACUGUUCAUGUGUCCCUGUUUUGAUUCUUUGUUCCAGGACAUAGGAACUUGGAAAUCUCAGUGGGUGAUCUCAGGAUUCAGCUUCACAACUUCUGACAUCCAUUCUAUCCAGUUACAUCUAUAAAAGAUUCAUCCUCAUACUGCCCUCUGAAAGACCCAUCAAGCAGCUGAAAGAGUCAGAUGCAGAUAUUUGCACCCAACCAAUGAACAGAAGCUGCUGACCUCUCUGGUUGAAUUAGGGGAAAGCUGGAGGAAGCUGACGAGGAGCUGACAAGCAACCUUUUAGGAGGACCAGCAGUCUCAAUUAACCUGGACUCGCGAGAUCUCUCAGACACCAUAUCACCAACCAGGCAGCAUACAUGAGUUUAUAUAAGGCCUCCAACACAUAUCCAGCAGAGAACUCCUGGGUCUGGAUUGAAUCAGAGAAGAUGCACCUAACCCUCAAGAGACUGGAGGCCCUAGG